CUACGUGUGGCAGCAGUGGGGAAUAUUGGACAAUGGGCGAAAGCCUGAUCCAGCCAUGCCGCGUGUGUGAAGAAGGCCUUCGGGUUGUAAAGCACUUUCAGUGGGGAAGAAAGCCUUGGGGCUAAUACCCUCGAGGAAGGACAUCACCCACAGAAGAAGCACCGGCUAACUCCGUGCCAGCAGCCGCGGUAAUACGGAGGGUGCGAGCGUUAAUCGGAAUUACUGGGCGUAAAGCGCGCGUAGGCGGUCUGAUAAGCCGGUUGUGAAAGCCCCGGGCUCAACCUGGGAACGGCAUCCGGAACUGUCAGGCUAGAGUGCAGGAGAGGAAGGUAGAAUUCCCGGUGUAGCGGUGAAAUGCGUAGAGAUCGGGAGGAAUACCAGUGGCGAAGGCGGCCUUCUGGACUGACACUGACGCUGAGGUGCGAAAGCGUGGGUAGCAAACAGGAUUAGAUACCCUUGUAGUC
rnacentral:rRNA from 1 species